GCUUACGACCACACGGCCUGAGUACGCCUAAUCUCGUCUGAUCUCUGAAGCUAAGCAGGGUCGGGACUGGGUUAGUACUUGGAUGGGAGACCGCCUGGGAAUACCAGGUGCUGUAAGCU
rnacentral:rRNA from 1 species